rnacentral:misc_RNA from 1 species
GAUGAAGAACGUAGCGAAACGCGAUAAGUAAUGUGAAUUGCAGAAUCCAGUGAAUCAUCGAAUCUUUGAACGCACAUUGCGCCCGCCAGCAUUCUGGCGGGCAUGCCUGUUCGAGCGUCAUUUCAACCCUCGACCUCCCCUUGGGGAGGUCGGCGUUGGGGACCGGCAGCACACCGCCGGCCCUGAAAUGGAGUGGCGGCCCGUCCGCGGCGACCUCUGCGCAGUAAUACAGCUCGCACCGGGACCCCGACGCGGCCACGCCGUAAAACACCCAACUUCUGAACGUUGACCUCGGAUCAGGUAGGACUACCCGCUGAACUUAAGCAUAUCAAUAAGCGGAGGA